rnacentral:rRNA from 1 species
UACGGGGGGAGCAAGCGUUGUUCGGAUUUACUGGGCGUAAAGGGCGCGUAGGCGGUCAGCACAAGUCAGUUGUGAAAUCUCCGGGCUUAACUCGGAAAGGUCAACUGAUACUGUGCGACUAGAGUGCAGAAGGGGCAACUGGAAUUCUCGGUGUAGCGGUGAAAUGCGUAGAUAUCGAGAGGAACACCUGCGGCGAAGGCGGGCUACUGGGCCGAUACUGACGCUGAUGCGCGAAAGCCAGGGGAGCGAACGGG